UACGUAGGUGGCAAGCGUUGUCCGGAUUUACUGGGCGUAAAGAGCGCGCAGGCGGUCGUUCAAGUCGCGUGUGAAAGCCCCCGGCUCAACUGGGGAGGGUCACGCGAUACUGAUCGACUCGAAGGCAGGAGAGGGUAGUGGAAUUCCCGGUGUAGUGGUGAAAUGCGUAGAUAUCGGGAGGAACACCAGUGGCGAAGGCGACUACCUGGCCUGUUCUUGACGCUGAGGCGCGAAGGCUCGGGGAGCGAACGGG
rnacentral:rRNA from 1 species